AGCUUUGCACAGUGGCAGUAUCGUAGCCAAUGAGGUUUAUCCGAGGCGUGGUUAUUGCUAAUUAUUUGUAUUUAUUGUGGUUAUCCCCAUUUGACAGAGUAGAUAUUUAACUUUUUGUUUAUUCUCUCUUUCUACACUAGAA